rfam:Brassica napus, WGS project CCCW01000000 data, contig: 2079
GAGGAAGAUGAAGAUAACUGAGAAGUAGAAAAUAUUAGUUUUGUUUAACUCACAUGUUGAAACAAGUAGAAUAUAGCUAUGACUAUCAAAGUUGGUUU